rnacentral:rRNA from 1 species
UGGGGAAUUUUCCGCAAUGGGCGCAAGCCUGACGGAGCAACGCCGCGUGAGGGAGGAAGGCCUGUGGGUCGUAAACCUCUUUUCUCAGGGAAGAAAUUUGACGGUACCUGAGGAAUCAGCAUCGGCUAACUCCGUGCCAGCAGCCGCGGUAAGACGGAGGAUGCAAGCGUUAUCCGGAAUUAUUGGGCGUAAAGCGUCCGUAGGUGGUUAGGCAAGUCUGUUGUUAAAGGCCGCAGCUCAACUGUGGAUUGGCAAUGGAAACUGCAUGACUAGAGUGUGGUAGGGGUAGAGGGAAUUCCUAGUGUAGCGGUGAAAUGCGUAGAUAUUAGGAAGAACACCAGUGGCGAAGGCGCUCUACUGGGCCAUAACUGACACUGAUGGACGAAAGCUAGGGGAGCGAAAGAGAUUAGAUACCCCCGUAGUCC